UGGGGAAUUUUGGACAAUGGGCGCAAGCCUGAUCCAGCCAUACCGCGUGAGUGAAGAAGGCCUUCGGGUUGUAAAGCUCUUUCAGACGGAAAGAAACGGUUACGGCUAAUACCCGUGACUAAUGACGGUACCGUAAGAAGAAGCACCGGCUAACUACGUGCCAGCAGCCGCGGUAAUACGUAGGGUGCGAGCGUUAAUCGGAAUUACUGGGCGUAAAGCGUGCGCAGGCGGUUUGGUAAGACAGAUGUGAAAUCCCCGGGCUUAACCUGGGAACUGCAUUUGUGACUGCCAGACUAGAGUGUAGCAGAGGGGGGUAGAAUUCCACGUGUAGCAGUGAAAUGCGUAGAUAUGUGGAGGAAUACCGAUGGCGAAGGCAGCCCCCUGGGCUAACACUGACGCUCAUGCACGAAAGCGUGGGGAGCAAACAGGAUUAGAUACCCAAGUAGUCCCUGAGCGGGCUGGCAAGGCGCAU
rnacentral:rRNA from 1 species